AACGAACGCUGGCGGCAGGCUUAACACAUGCAAGUCGAACGCACCUUUCGGGGUGAGUGGCAGACGGGUGAGUAACGCGUGGGAAUCUACCCUUCUCUACGGGAUAGCUCCGGGAAACUGGAAUUAAUACCGUAUACGUCCUGAGGGAGAAAGAUUUAUCGGGGAAGGAUGAGCCCGCGUUGGAUUAGCUAGUUGGUGGGGUAAAGGCCUACCAGGGCGACGAUCCAUAGCUGGUCUAAGAGGAUGGUCAGCCACAUUGGGACUGAGACACGGCCCAAACUCCUACGGGAGGCAGCAGUGGGGAAUAUUGGACAAUGGGCGCAAGGCUGAUCCAGCCAUGCCGGGUGAGUGAUGAAGGCCCUAGAGUUGUAAAGCUCUUUCAGUGGGGACGAUAAUGACGGUACCCACAGAAGAAGCCCCGGCUAACUUCGUG
rnacentral:rRNA from 1 species